rnacentral:rRNA from 1 species
UACGAAGGGGGCUAGCGUUGCUCGGAAUCACUGGGCGUAAAGCGCACGUAGGCGGCUUCUUAAGUCAGGGGUGAAAUCCUGGAGCUCAACUCCAGAACUGCCUUUGAUACUGAGGAGCUCGAGUCCGGGAGAGGUGAGUGGAACUCCGAGUGUAGAGGUGAAAUUCGUAGAUAUUCGGAAGAACACCAGUGGCGAAGGCGGCUCACUGGCCCGAUACUGACGCUGAGGCACGAAAGCGUGGGGAGCAAACAGG